rnacentral:rRNA from 1 species
GACUUCGGUCUGGUGGCGAGUGGCGAACGGGUGAGUAAUAUAUCGGAACAUACCCAGUAGUGGGGGAUAACUAUCCGAAAGGAUAGCUAAUACCGCAUACGAUCUGUGGAUGAAAGCAGGGGAUCUUCGGACCUUGUGCUAUUGGAAUGGCCGAUAUCUGAUUAGCUAGUUGGUAGGGUAAAAGCCUACCAAGGCGACGAUCAGUAGCUGGUCUGAGAGGACGACCAGCCACACUGGAACUGAGACACGGUCCAGACUCCUACGGGAGGCAGCAGUGGGGAAUUUUGGACAAUGGGGGCAACCCUGAUCCAGCAAUGCCGCGUGAGUGAAGAAGGCCCUCGGGUUGUAAAGCUCUUUUGUCAGGGAAGAAACGGAGUUCUCUAAUAUAGGAUUCUAAUGACGGUACCUGAAGAAUAAGCACCGGCUAACUACGUGCCAGCAGCCGCGGUAAUACGUAGGGUGCAAGCGUUAAUCGGAAUUACUGGGCGUAAAGCGUGCGCAGGCGGUUUUGUAAGUCUGAUGUGAAAUCCCCGGGCUCAACCUGGGAACUGCAUUGGAGACUGCAAGGCUAGAGUGUGUCAGAGGGGGGUAGAAUUCCACGUGUAGCAGUGAAAUGCGUAGAGAUGUGGAGGAAUACCGAUGGCGAAGG